rnacentral:lncRNA from 1 species
UUUAAUACAUAAAUUACUACAUUAAUAGCUAAUCUAUUACACCAUAAUUUUAUUUUUUGAAAAGAAGAUAUCAACUAAUUCUAUUACAAUUUCUAGAAAAUUAACAGCCAAGUGAACUCUUGCCCCUUUUGGAUAUAAUUGAUCCAACCAAAGCUUAGACCACCACAUGGAGACAUUAAUUUCAACAUGAUAACAAUAACCAAAUUCCACUUCUUGGCUUUAAAACUUGUUGAUUUCGCCAACUAGUGACCAAAUCCACAAGUUAUAGCCCGUGGAGCAACAUGACCACAAGUAAAACACUAUGUUACUCAUCACAAGUAGAAGCAAAAAAAAGAAACAACUUCAAUAGCUAAUAUUCAGAAUCAGUAACACAUUGUGAAAAUUUAACUAAAAAAAAUAUCUUCAAACAAGGUCACUUUUAAGAGAAAAAGCUACAAGUAUUAAUGUAUCAACCAAGUUAUUCAUAAUAGAUUAUUUCAAACCUUAAACUCACAUAUCGAUAGAUUAACUAGAUCUAUAACAAUGUAAUUAAUAACUACAUAAAAGGACACUCAUUCAUCACAUAUAAUUUACAUUUUUUGGUCUUAUAACAUUCAAACAAGCAGUACAUGAAGAAAGCUAAAAUCAUUACCUUGAAAAACAGCAAACACCAGCAGGAAAAACAAGUGAAAUGCUGGUUGAAACUUAAAGAUGGAGCAGCAACCAGAAACCAAACAGUAGCAGUAAGAAAUCAGCCCAGAAACCAAAGGACCAGCACUUAGACUUCUCAAAAAUCAGAGUACUAGAGAAAACCGGCCUAGAAAUCUAACUAGAAAACUGAUGUUUUAGCAAGAAAGUUUCAGGAAAUUUUCUCUUUUUGUAUUAUGAAAUUUUA